rnacentral:rRNA from 1 species
UACGGGGGGUGCGAGCGUUGUCCGGAAUCACUGGGCGUAAAGGGCGCGUAGGUGGUUUGAUAAGGGUGUGGUGAAAGUCCGGAGCUCAACUCCGGAUCUGCCGUGCCGACUGUCAAACUCGAGGGCUGUAGAGGCAGACGGAAUUCCGGGUGUAGCGGUGGAAUGCGUAGAGAUCCGGAGGAAGACCGGUGGCGAAGGCGGUCUGCUGGGCAGUUUCUGACACUGAGGCGCGGACAGCGUGGGGAGCAAACAGG